CGAGGCGCAGCAGGUGCGAAAAUCUGCAAUGCGUGCAAGCGCGACAGAGUGACUCCCAGUGCCGGUGGUCUAACGACCGUCGGCUUUUCCGAAGUGUAAACUGCUUCGGGUAAUAAGAGCCCGGGUAAGACUGGUGCCAGCCGCCGCGGUAACACCAGCGGCCCAAGUGGUAGCCGAUUUUAUUGGGCCUAAAGGGUCCGUAGCUGGACCGGCAAGUCCCUUGUGAAAUCGGACGGCUUAACCGUUCGGCUUGCAGGGGAAACUGUUGGUCUUGGGGCCGGCAGGCGUCGAGGGUACUCUAGGGGUAGCGGUGAAAUGCUAUAAUCCCUGGGGGACCGCCAGUGGCGAAAGCGCUCGGCGGGGCCGGACCCGACGGUUAGGGACGAAGGCCAGGGGAGCGAACCGGGUUAGAUACCCGGGUAGUCCUGGCUGUAAAGAAUGUGGGUUAGGUGCCGGACGUUCCUCGAGAGCGCUCGGUGCCGAAGGGAAGCCGUUAAGCCCACCGCCUGGGAAGUACGGCCGCAAGGCUGAAACUUAAAGAAAUUGGCGGGGGAGCACCACAAGGGGUGGAGCCUGCGGUUUAAUUGGAUUCAACGCCGGACAUCUCACCGGGGGCGACGGCAGAGUGAAGGCCAAGUUGACGACUUUGCCGGACUCGCCGAGAGGUGGUGCAUGGCCGCCGUCAGCUCGUAUCGUGAGGCGUCCUGUCAAGUCAGGUAACGAGCGAGACCCUCACCCCUAGUUGCCAGCGGAUUCCUUUGGAAUGCCGGGAACUCUAGGGGGACCGCUGCCGAUAAGGCAGAGGAAGGAGAGGGCGACGGUAGGUCCGUAUGCCCCGAAUCCCCCGGGCAACACGCGGGCUACAAUGCGCAGGACAGAGGGCUGCGACCCCGAGAGGGGAAGCCGAUCCCUAAACCUGCGCCUAGUUCGGAUCGAGGGCUGAAACUCGCCCUCGUGAAGCUGGAAUCCCUAGUAACCGCGUGUCAUUAUCGCGCGGUGAAUACGUCCCUGCUCCUUGCACACACCGCCCGUCAAGCCAUCCGAGUGGGAUCUGGAUGAGGCUCGCUCGUCAGAGUGA
rnacentral:rRNA from 1 species